rnacentral:rRNA from 1 species
AUACGGAGGGGGCUAGCGUUGUCCGGAAUCAUUGGGCGUAAAGCGGGGGUAGGUGGCUUGGCAAGUCGGAUGUGAAAUCCCAGGGCCCAACCCUGGAACUGCAUUCGAAACGGUCUCGCUAGAGUCCCGGAGAGGAUGGCGGAAUUCCCGGUGUAGAGGUGAAAUUCGUAGAUAUCGGGAGGAACACCAGUGGCGAAGGCGGCCUUCUGGACGGUGACUGACGCUGAGACCCGAAAGUGUGGGGAGCAAACAGGAUUAGAAACCCCAGUAGUCC